rnacentral:rRNA from 1 species
AUGAGAACUAAAGUAGAGAAACAAACUUGGUUUGAUAGCAUUUAUAAGGUAAAAGAGAAGUGGGCUGCAUGUUAUAUGAAGGAUGCAUUCACCUUGGGGAUGCGAAGUACACAACUAAGUGAAAGUUUGAACAAUGACCUCAAGCACCAUUUGAAAUCAGAUCUUGAUGUGAUCCGUUUUUUCAAGCAUUUUGAAAGGGUUGUGCAAGGGAAACGAGACAUUGAGUUGAGUUCGGAGUACGAGUCAAGGGAGCUAAUACCUAGGGUCAAAAUGAGAACGACCAUGCUGGUCCAAGCAAGCCAAGUUUACACUCCGGUA